CUAAUAGAAAACUAACAAUGCUAAGCAAGCUUUAAUCAAAUUCAAAGAAACCUUAAAGUAAUUACAAAGAAAUAAUGAGAAAUUUUAAAGAAAUAUUAAAAUAAUUACAAAUAUAUCUCAAAUAAAUCUGAAUCCAAUCUUAAUUUAAUCCUAUUUAAAAUCCUAUUGGACUUCAUUCAAACUUUAGGCCUAAAACUAACUAAAUCUUAAUCCCUAAAUAAAUCCUAAAUAAAUCUUAAAUAAAUCCUAAUUAAAUCCUAAUAAAAUCCUAAACUCUAAAUCAAAUCUUAAUCUAAUUCUAAUCUUUAUUAAAUCCUAAUCAAAUCCUAAAUCCCAAAUCAAAUCCUAAUCAAAUUCUAAAUUCUAAACCAAAUCCUAAUCAAAUUCUAAAUCCUAAACCAAAUCCUAAUAAAAACUUAAACCCUAAAUCAAAUCCUAACCAAAUCCUAUAUCUUAAAUCAAACCUUAAAUCCUAAAUCAAACCCUAACUGAAUCCUAAAUCCUAAAUUAAACCCUAAAUCCUAAAAUAAACUCUAAAUCAAAUCCUAAUCAAAUCUUAAAUCCUAAAUCAAAUCCUAACCAAAU
rnacentral:lncRNA from 1 species